GUCCGUGUGGCGCAAUGGUAGCGCGUUGGACUUCUAACAUUCAGUUGUAGACUGGAACUUGAAAUCCAAAGGCUGUGGGUUCGAGCCCCACCACGGAUG